rnacentral:rRNA from 1 species
GACGAACCGUCCAAACGUUGUUCGGAAUCACUGGGCUUAAAGGGCGCGUAGGCGGGUCUCCAAGUCGGUGGUGAAAUCUUUCGGCUCAACCGGAAAACAGCCGCCGAUACUGGGGGUCUCGAGGGAGGUAGGGGUCGAUGGAACUUCCGGUGGAGCGGUGAAAUGCGUAGAUAUCGGAAGGAACGCCGGUGGCGAAAGCGAUCGACUGGACCUUUUCUGACGCUGAGGCGCGAAAGCCAGGGGAGCAAACGGG